rnacentral:ncRNA from 1 species
GAGAACACGUUGAGAGGAAAAAGUAGACUAUCUUCGUUAACUUAGAGAGUUCCAGUGAUGGUGAGAUGGAAUGGCAACGAGGUAGUUGAAAAUCGUCCUUGAGUGAUUACUUGAACGGCGUCCGCCAAGUAAAGUGAAUUGGAAAGCACCCAUUACCGUGCCGGCGUAUGAUUGUACGUGAGAGACCUGUUUAGUAAUAGAUAGGUGAACUUAGGUGGUAACACGGUGUUUUUCCGUCCUAUUA